rnacentral:lncRNA from 1 species
UCAAUUUACACAUUUUCUACCUAACUUUGUGGUUUUUGUCUUAUUUUGUAGGAAAUGGAGCAAAAUGGUAAUUUGGCUAAAAUGGCCUUAAUUCUGCCCAAAAGACAGCAAAAGAGAAUAAGCAUGGUUUGCCCAACUUGAUUGCCCAAGCCAAGGAGAAGCUGAGAUAAAGAGGAAAAAGUGAUAAAGUAUGCUGUCCAGACUGUUUGCCCAAACAGCACUGGGCAAACAACAAAGAAAGUCAGAAACAGAGCAUAUGCAGCCAACAGUGAUCCCAGACAGCCUGUUUGCCCAAACAGCGACGGGCAAACAGCACCAGCAGGCAAAAAACCAGCAGAAUCUGUCAAACUUGCUGACCAAGUCAACACGAAUCCCCACGCACUCCAAACACGUGGGACAGCUUAGAAACACCUAUUUACACCUCAGCACACUCUCCUACAUAUUCAGGAAGCCAAGAAAUAAAAAGACAAGAAUGCCCUCCAAGAAUUCAAGACUAAAUAGGAAAAAAGAGUCCCAAACUAAAAAGGAAAAUUAGGGCAGCCUCUUCACCUAUAAAAAGGCAUGCAAACCAGCAAAGAAGACAUCCUGGAAUUCGGGGGACUAUCCUUGGAUCAAGAAACCUUCGGCAGAAUCACCACAGCAGCUGCGCCCUUGCGCCAG